UGGGAUGGGGUAUGUGUUCUCAUGAACAAGUAGUCUGAGCUUACCUUGGGUGGAGGCAAAAAGGUAGUCUCCUGAGCUCUGGUACCUCAGCUUCAGUGAGGUCACCUGCUCUGGGGGAGAGUUUGAAUUCCUUACUCAGAUUAUCACAGAAGGCCUGAGGUGAAUAGAAAGAGACGAGACCUUUGAGGGAUUCUGAAAUCAAAAGUUGCCUUAGCUAUAAGAUGUUGGUGCUUUGAAGGGAAACGGAGUAGUCUAACGGAGGAUGUCUAGGGGAAGUUGGGUCAGAGGCCCAAAGUGAAUGUUGCGGUUAGGUGCGUGGAGAAUCUAACCUCUUUUCUGUCCUCAUUCUCAGACAUUCCUGAACCCCUGGUAUGAGGCCAGCCUGCUGCCCAUCUAUGCAGUCACCGUUUCCAUGGGGCUCUGGGCAUUCGUCACAGCCGGAGGCUCCCUCCGGAGUAUCCAGCGCAGCCUUUCGUGUAAGGACUGACUACCUGGACUGAUCGCCCGACAGCUCCCAUCUGCCUGUCCACUGCCCAUGACUGAACCCAGCCCCAGCCCGGGUCCAUUGCCCUCAUCCUCCGUCUCCUCGCUGAUGUGUCCCACUUCCUUCCGGGUUUGGCGUUGUCCAUUUGUGACCUGUAGUCUCUAAGCUUUCUCAGGAGCAGCUUGGGUGCAGCCCGUCAGGGACUGGUGGGCUUGAAUCUGCAUCUCUCCCCACCACCUGGGGACCCCCUUGUUGUCCAGGUCUCCCCAUGUGUCAGUGCUCUAUCCCCACCCUGCCCAUGACUCACCCCACUUCCCCUCUGCAGGCCGACGGCAGGAGGACAGUCGGGUGAUGGUGUACUCUGCCCUGCGCAUCCCACCCGAGGACUGAGGGAACAUGGGGGGGACCCCUGGGCCUGGGGUGCCCUCCCGACCUCCUCGUCCUGUAUUUCUCCAUCUCCAGUUCUGGACAGUGCAGGUUGUCAAGAAAAGGGACCUAGUUUAGGCAUGGCCCUGGAGAUGAAGUUCCUGGAGGCUCAAGGGUAGAUGAGUUCAGUGCAGUUUCUCCUGCCCAGACUGGACAUCUUGGUCUUUUUCUCAGGUCUGAAAGGAACCAUUUUUUUUUGGUAUGAUAAAGACCCCAAAAAUGCCUUUUUUUUAAAUGGGGGAGAGGGAGGAGGUGUGCCGGGAGCCUCCUUGACCUCCUGUAGGCUGUGUCUCUGCUCCUGAAUCUGCUGAUUGUGGCUCACUUCUAUCCUAUUAUCCCUUUGGUCCAGGCCCUGGGGAAAAGGAAGGAAGUGCAUGUGUGGGAACGGGUACCACUGGAACUCCUAUUUUAACGCCUGUGACCAUUAGCACCCCUCCUUUCCCCAAGGUGAAGUGGAGGGUGCUGUGGGGGCCAGCCCACUCCAUGGCAGUGCCCCAGAGGAGUCAGACUACCAUGGCAUCGCAGCCCAAGAGGACAGGCAUUUUUUCUAGUUUUUAAUUGGGGUGUGGGAGGGCUGGGGAGGUUUUCUAUCACUGUAUUGUUUUUUCUGCUGAGGGUGGGAUAUUCCAUCCUUUUAAUCAAGGUGAUUGUGAUUUUGAUUAAUAAAAAGGACUUUAUAAUUGUGGGGGAACUUGGCUUUAAGAGGGGAUACUGGAUUGAGAUUUCUAGCUUCUGGUGGCUCUGGUCCAUCUUUCUAGCCUAGCACCCGAUGUUCAUUCACAGUUGGAAGCUUUGGUGUGGUGAAAGAAGCACCGGUUGGUGGUGUAACUUGUGGAGGUUGAGUUAACUUUCCCCAGGAGGCAUCUCCCUUGUGCAGGAACAGGAUAUAGGAGUUACUAAUCCCCGCUUUCUUUCUCUGCAUCUAUCUCUGCUAUUCAAAGGACGGAGCAAUGCUCCCACCCUUGAAAGCCACAAAAGACAGUCCAGAAUUAAGGUCAAAACCUUUUAAUUUUCAAACAUAUAUUGAGCAAAAAAUAAUUAAAACCCUAUUAGCAGCCCUUUUUUCCUAGAGGGAAAAACUACAAGGUGUAUAUGUGGGAGGGAACAUGACAGUGUGAGGCGAAGGGCGGCAGAGCUUGUCCUCAGCUUCUUCAUAACUAAACACUAAAACAGGGAUCUCCUGAUCUACAGCUUUGAAAGGCCAAAGACUCAGCCCUUUCUUGAAGAACUGGGGUCCUCGCUUCUCUGGUAUUCGUGUAUAGAGAGGUGGUAUCUCUCUAUACCUGAAUGAACCUGCCUAUGACUGGUAGUCCGGUGCCUGUACCCUCUUAGAGAGGCUCCCUGACAGGUAUGAGAGGAAGGCAUCCAUAUCUGCAGCAUCUCGAGACAGAGUUCAUGCCUCUGUGGUAGCCCGAGCAGAGGUGAAAACCACACUUUUCCUGUUUCCGAGCCUCUUCCUCCUGGAAAGGGGAGCAGUGAUCAUGGGAGUGACUAGUAUGUUAAGUGAGUAGAAGUAGAAUAGUAAAUACUUUUUUUUUCUUUUUAAAGAACUCAAUAAGUAUAUAAUCAUGACCUUAAAUUUUCUCUUUUCCCUACCUCCUGAAUGUUGGGAUUAUAAGUAUGUGCCAGUGUGCCAGGUUUAAUGUGGUGCUAGAUUUCAAACCCAGGGCUUUGAGCAUGCCCAGAAAGCACUCCGCCGACUGAGCUGCAGCCUCAGAACUUUCACUGGGGUACGGGGGAGAGUGGGUCAUCUCACUAUGUAGACCAGGCUGGCCUUGAACAUACAGAGAUCAUCCUGCUUCUGCCUCCCAAGUGUUGGGAUUAAAGUUAUGCACCACC
rnacentral:lncRNA from 1 species